rnacentral:rRNA from 1 species
AUUGAACGCUGGCGGCCGGCUUAACACAUGCAAGUCGAGCGAGCGGCGGACGGGUGAGUAAGGUCUGGGAAACGGCCUGAUGGAGGGGGAUAACUACUGGAAACGGUAGCUAAUACCGCCUACCAUCAGUUUCGCCCAGCUGGGAUUAACUAGUAGGUGGGGUAAUGGCUCACCUAGGCGACGAUCCCUCGCUGGCAUGAGAGGAUGACCAGCCACACUGGAACUGAGACACGGGCCAGACUCCUACGGGAGGCAGCAGUGGGGAAUAUUGGACAAUGGGCGCAAGCCUGAUGCAGCCAUGCCGCGUGUGUGAAGAAGGCCUUCGGGUUGUAAAGCACUGUCAGCGAGGAGGCGUUACUCACAGAAGAAGCACCGGCUAACUCCGUGCCAGCAGCCGCGGUAAUAC